CGUCAUCUGCCUUCGUCCUGCGCUUCUUUAACUUGUCAGCGCAUCACCUCCAUCGCCCCAUGCUGUAGCGUAACAAGCAGGUAACGCUCCACAUCAGCACAUCGAACCGAUAACCUCAGAGGCUGCAACCCAGUACUGCUUCCCCGCUCUCACUCUGGAUUUCUGUGAGUACUUGUUACCGCUGCAAGCAAUUUGUGAUCUCCCUAACCAAGCUCCACCAGAUACAGAAGUUUGCUUAUGCCAAUCAGUCCGGGUCUGCCAUGUACACACAAAGAAUAACAUCACUGAUGGGGUUCAAAAGAACUCUACGACUCACGAUGUAACCCACACGCUUUCACAUGACGCCCUUGACCACCUUAUCUUGUCGACGGGACUACUCUGCUCCUUUAUAAGCACUGGAAGGCUUUCAACUUCAAAAGGACAAGACCCAAACUUGUGACAAUUUCAAUCACCGAAACUAAAUAUAUUGUAACAGACACGUUAUUGUAGUGUUUACUAUAUUGUAUUGUUUGAUUGUUUAAAACACCAAUAAAAACGAUUUACAAAAAAAAAAAAAGAUAAUGUACAUUU